AUAUACACACGUAAUAUACACAUACAUAUAUACACAUGCGUAUAUGUAAUGUAGACAUCUAUACACACAAGUUAUACACAUAUACACACAUAUAAUACACAUGCUAUACACUCAUACACAUAUGCAUAUAAUCACAUAUACACACAUACACAUAUAUACACACAUAUACACAUACACUCAUACAUAUAUACACACAUAUAUAAUAUAUACACAUAUAUACACAUAUACAUAUACACAUGUUAUAUACACACAUAUAUACGUUAUAUACACAUAAUGUACACAUGUUAUACAAUCAUACAUAUAUGCACAUGUAUAUAUAUACACAUGUUAUACCUAUACACAUAUAUAUACAUAUAUGUAUGAGUGUAUAACAUAUAUAUACAUGUUAUACACUCAUACAUAUAUAAACACAUGCAUAUAUAAUAUAUACACAUAUAUAUGCACAUUAUACCUAUACACAUAUACACACAUACGUUAUACACUCAUACAUAUACACAUAUAUGUACACAUAUAUAAUGUAUCAAUGUAUAAUUUAUGUUACAUGUAAAAUAUAUGUUAUGUAUAAAAUAAAUAUAUAUUAUGUACAGAUUAUAAUUUUUAAUUUAUAUACAUAUAAAUAUAUACAUUUAUAUAUAAACAUAUAUGUAUAUGUUUUCUUUAAACUCAGGUCAAAGAAAUAGGAAGUUAAAUG
rnacentral:lncRNA from 1 species